CCUACGGGAGGCAGCAGUGAGGAAUAUUGGUCAAUGGACGAGAGUCUGAACCAGCCAAGUAGCGUGAAGGAUGACUGCCCUAUGGGUUGUAAACUUCUUUUAUAUGGGAAUAAAAUGUUCCACGUGUGGGAUUUUGUAUGUACCAUAUGAAUAAGGAUCGGCUAACUCCGUGCCAGCAGCCGCGGUAAUACGGAGGAUCCGAGCGUUAUCUGGAUUUAUUGGGUUUAAAGGGAGCGUAGGUGGAUUGUUAAGUCAGUUGUGAAAGUUUGCGGCUCAACCGUAAAAUUGCAGUUGAAACUGGCAGUCUGGAGUGGGCGAGAAGUAUGCGGAAUGCGUGGUGUAGCGGUGAAAUGCAUAGAUAUCACGCAGAACUCCGAUUGCGAAGGCAGCAUACCGGCGCCCUACUGACGCUGAGGCACGAAAGCGUGGGUAUCGAACAGGAUUAGAUACCCGGGUAGUC
rnacentral:rRNA from 1 species